UCGGGGAUGGUGUAAUUGGUAACACAGCUGUUUCUGGUACAGCCAUUGGGGGUUCAAGUCCUCCUCCCCGAACUA
rnacentral:tRNA from 1 species